AUAAAAUAAAGACAUAAAACAAUCAUAAGAUAUUGUUUAUAAUAAAAAAAACAUAAAGAUAAAAAUUCAAAGUGAAACACAAACUCUUUCAUUUUCAUGUAUAAAACUAAGCUUGACCAUUGUUAUAGUUUUUGUCAGUGAUACUUGUUGUCCAUCUGUGAACCUGUGAUGUUCUGAAAGAGCCAUUUUCAUCCAAUAUUCCCUAAAAAUUAUGGGGAGCACACAAAUGUACAAUAGGGACAAUGGCAAACAAGCUGUAAAAAAAGCCCCUUUACAAUUGACUUGUUUUAUUUAUGGCUAUAAACAUCAAACAAAGACCCAGUUGAAGAAUUAUUGUUUCAUUGAUGAGUUAUAUUAAUAAACAAAAGACCAACUUGUUGAAAAGUGUUUUAAAGUGAGUCUUUAAGCCUCGUUGCAGCUCUCAACUUAUUUACAAAAAGACCAAGUUAAACUCGCUUAAACCCACUUCUGUUUAAAAAAAGACCAACUUCUGUUGUAAAAGACUCGCUUAUAAAACAAAAAGACACACUUAAACACACAUAAACCAACUCAUAUUAUAAAAAGGCUCACUUUUGACACACAAAAAACCGACUUCUUACAGAAAAAAACUCGCUUAAACACACAUCUUCUUAAAAUAACCAACUUUAAACUCAGUUAAGCACACCCGGGUGUACAUUGUCCAGGGUAAUCAUGGAACUUAGGCUGGAAAUCCAUGGUAUAACAUGGAAUUCCAUGGUAAUCCCUGGAAUUUGAAACAGUUUCCAGGGUUUUCCAGGGUUUUGUUCUAGAAAUGUCCAUGAAACGUGGACUUUUUUUCCAAGCAUUUUCCAGCCUUGGAUGGAAAAGCAUGGAAAAGGAAUGGAAAACGCUGGAUUUAGGCUGGAUAACCCUGGAAAAUAUUUCCAGAUAGCAUGGAAAGUGGAACAUAGAAUUUUUUAAGCAUGGAAAAGACUCUAACAUUUUCAGCUAACCCUGGAAAAAACUUAGACUUUAUAAGAGGAGAAAAUAACUUAUAAAAAUGCAACACAUUUUAUUCAAAGUAAAUCAGAGUUCAACAAUUUACACAACAUAUGAAUAAAACAUAUAACAAUGUGCAUAGUUUGGGCAGAAAUAGUAGUAGUUAUAGUAGUAGUAGUAGUAGUAGUAGUAGAAGUAGUAAUGCUGGUGCUGGCAGUAGAAUAUGUUGUAGGAGUAGAAGUAAAAGUGGUUGUUGUAUAAGUUGUACAAGCAGUUAAACUACUGAUAAUUAUACUAUUGGUGCAAAUUUAAGUGACAGUAGCAGUUACUAUUGUGUUGUUGUUUUAGCAUUUACAGGAAUAGUAGCAGUAAUGGUAGCAAUAGUAGUAUAAAUAAUAAUAACAAUACUAGUAGCAGCAGUAGUAGUAGUAGUUAAGGAAGUAGCAUUAGCAGCAGCAGCAGUAGUAGUAGUAGAAGUAGCAGCAGCAGCAGUAGUAGCAGUAGCAGCAUCAGCAGCAUCAGUAGUAGUAGCAGUAGUAGUAGCAGUAGUAGUUGAAGUACUAGUAGUAGUAGUAGUAGUAGUAGUAGUAGUAGUAGUAGAAGUAGUAGUAGUAGUAGUAGAAGUAGAAGUAGCAGCAGUAGUAGUGGUAGAAGUAGUAGUAGUAGUAACAGCAGCAGCAGCAGUAGUAGUAGUAGUCGCUGCAGCAGGAGUUGUAAUAGUAGCAGCAGCAGCAGUAGCAGUAGUAGUAGUAGCAGCAGCAGCAGGAGUAGUAGCAGCAGCAGCAGUAGCAGCAGCAGUAGCAGUAGUAGUAGUAGUUGAAGCAGUAGUAGUAGUUGAAGUAGUAGUAGUAGUAGUAGUAGUAGCAGUAGUAGCAGCAGUAGUAGUAGUAGUAGUAGUAGUAGUAGUAGUAGUAGAUGUAGUAGUAGUAGUAGUAGUAGAAGUAGAAGUAGUAGUAGUAGUAGUAGUAGCAGUAGUAGUAGUAGUAGUAGUAGUAGUAGUAGGUAGUUGUUGUUGUUGUUGUGGCUGUUGUAAUAGUAGUAGUAGUUUUGCAGAAGUAGUAGUAGUAGUAGUAGUACUAGUAGUAGAAGUAAAAGUAGUAACUUUCAACAAGUUUAAAUUCCUUAACCCUGUUCAAGGUGUAUACACACUCAAUAUUUAACUACAGUCCAGGUUUGCAAUUAACAAACUAUCUGAAAAGCCUGUGUGUGAGUCAGAUGUGUCUGCGGCUAAUCUAUUGGUUAUAAAAUAUCACAGCCUUUUCUGAUUGGCUGAGUUCAAAUACAGAAAGUUUACCUGUUAGAUUGAAAUUAUGGAGAAGGCGUAUUGAAGAAAAAAUGCAGGUUAAACUUGUUGUUAAAAUGAAGUUAAUGUAAUUUCACAAACAGUAGAGUUUAACUUAAUGAGUUUUUUCCAUUAACAAGAAUUUCUUAAAAUAAUAAUGUAUGGAUAUCAUUUGGAAAGUGACAUGAAAUGUUGUUAAAAAGUGAUGCAUACAAGUGUUUCAGAAGUCUGUCUAGGAAUAGAACAACAACUGAAGCUGACCAGUUGAUGGAAGAUACUGCAGAGUUUGGCAGGGACAUAACCCAAGACAGCAAAGCGGCUCUUUUGGCGCAUUUACCAAGAGGACUAACAUGGCCACAAAUUCAUGAGAUCAUGCAGGAGCCGUACAGUAUAACAGCAGUACAAGUUCUAUAAAAGAUCCACGACCUACUGAAGCCCAGCUAAUUAACAAAAAAGUUUUUAAAAACUGUAAUUUUAUCCCACCUGGGUACUUAUAAUUUACUAACUGUCACUUGGAAAGUAAUACAUGUACAUGCAUUCAUGUUCUGAAUUUCUUUGAACAAUAAAAUUAUAUAAAAGUAUUUUAAUGAAAUUGAGCACCUAAAUUGCAUUAAAGUGAAAGUAGCUGAGAAAAAUAGUAGUGCUGCAACAAUACGCCAAAAACCGUAUUGCAAUAUAUUGUCAGCUCAAAAA